UAAUAAAGUAUAACUGUUAACUGUGAGAAGAAUAAGUGCCGGAAUAAAUAACGCACAUGGAAGAGUAUUCAAAGGUUUGAAUAAUCAUGGUUGCUUUUUAAUGGCUUGGAGUAAUCUAACGAAGAUAAAUGUUAUUGGAGUAACAUUUGCAGUAACUGGAAUUACAUCAUUCUUUUUGGUAAAGAAAUACGUUGUGAAACAGAGGACAGAUUCUAUGAAAUCUCGGCAACGUAUGGCUGAAGCUAGAAUACAGAAACCAGCAUAAAAACAUCUUUUUUCAAUACUUAAAUACAAAUUAUUAAUUCAUUUGAUACUCAAGAAU